CUGCGGUUGAUAAGGAAGCCGACGUUGGCUAUGGAUGACGGAUCUCGCCGAGAAUUGUUGAGAUCUUUCAGAUCGUAUAUAUUGGGGGCUGGGAUUUUGAAGAGAACUUUUAUAUAGAUGGAGUUAAAGAUCGAUUAGAACUGGAGAUGAAUUUUCUGAGCCGUCCCUUCUUCCCUGCCGGAAUCUGGAAAAUGUUUUCUUCUUGCGAUGAACAGUAACCCUCUAGAAUCAUAGAUGAACAGUGAAUCUGAAUUUUUAUUCGAUGAACAGUAACCUCUAGAUGAACAGUGAAUUUGAUUUGAUUUUUUGUAAGCUCGUCGGAACUCACGACGUAGCCCCGUUAUUCUAAUCUACAUCUUGAAAUUGAGCAUCAGAGCUGGAAAGCGGAGCCGAGCUGAGCCAAG
rnacentral:lncRNA from 1 species